rnacentral:rRNA from 1 species
UACGUAGGGGGCAAGCGUUGUCCGGAUUUAUUGGGCGUAAAGAGCGUGUAGGCGGCCAGGUAGGUCCGCUGUGAAAACUCGAGGCUCAACCUCGAGAUGUCGGCGGAAACCAUCUGGCUAGAGUCCGGAAGAGGAGAGUGGAAUUCCUGGUGUAGCGGUGAAAUGCGCAGAUAUCAGGAAGAACACCCGUGGCGAAGGCGGCUCUCUGGGACGGUACCGACGCUGAGACGCGAAAGCGUGGGGAGCGAACAGG